UACGUAGGGCGCAAGCGUUGUCCGGAAUUAUUGGGCGUAAAGAGCUCGUAGGCGGCUUGUCACGUCGGAUGUGAAAGCCCGGGGCUUAACCCCGGGUCUGCAUUCGAUACGGGCAGGCUAGAGUUCGGUAGGGGAGAUCGGAAUUCCUGGUGUAGCGGUGAAAUGCGCAGAUAUCAGGAGGAACACCGAUGGCGAAGGCAGAUCUCUGGGCCGUAACUGACGCUGAGGAGCGAAAGCAUGGGGAGCGAACAGG
rnacentral:rRNA from 1 species